UGCUCGGACAAAUGCAGACAAAUGCAUUUAGGAGCAAAAAGGACAAGGACUGGAAGCAUCUCUCCCACAGCAAAAACGAAAACCCUCCUCCUUUUUCUUGCGAUAUGCAUAGCUGUGGGUGCCGCACAAAUGCCAGCACAAGGCAUAGAUGUUCUUCACCAGUUAGGCCUUGGUGGGAAAGCGGA